UGACAGUCAUCCGCUUGCAAACAUAUGUUCGAUCUUCACCGGUUGGCUAUGUGAGUAAGCACUUUACCUUGAGAAAAACAAGAGUGUUCCAGGCAGGUUUGUCCGGGAUGCAUUAGCAUGGAAUAAUAGAACAUGACUGAAGUCGAUUUAUUGGUUUAAGGCUUUAGUAAUGAUUAAUAGGAACAGUCGGGGGCAUUCGUACUCAGCAGUCAGAGGUGAAAUUCUAAGAUUUGCUGAAGACGAACUAAUGCGAAAGCAUUUGCCAAGGAUGUUUUCAUUAAUCAAGAACGAAGUUAGGGGAUCAAAGACGAUCAGAUACCGUCCUAGUCUUAACUAUAAACUAUGCCGACUCGGAUUCAGAUGAAUCAAAUGUUCAUUUGGGACCGUAGGAGAAAUCAAAGUCUUUGGGUUCUGGG
rnacentral:rRNA from 1 species